rfam:Mesocricetus auratus contig014560, whole genome shotgun sequence.
GUCUAUGGCCAUACCACCCUGUAGGCCCCUGAUCUCAUCUGAUCUCGGAAGCUAAGCAGGGUCGGGCCUGGUUAGUACUUGGAUGGUUUUACUUUUUAACACUUAUCUUAUUUUUC